UGACCCUGCUCCAGGUAUUUAAAAAAGGAGAGUGGGGUGAGGGCACGAAGAAUUUCCCUACCACAAGUCAUUCAGCAGAAGCCAGAUGGAAUAGCAAUUCUUUCACUUGAAGACUCCAAGUAUUGCACAGUGCCAGUGUAAAGCUACCAAAGAAGCAUGCCCUGCAAACUGGGGUAAAAUGGCUGGGAGGAAGAGAUGGUGUCAAGCACGUUCAUUUGACUGUAACAUUAAACUACUGUGCUUUUCCCUGCUUGGGCGUCUACUGUACCAAACAUUCGUGUAAUUGACAUUAAUGUUAAAAGGACUUCUGUUGCUUUCACUGGAGCAGGAUACAGACCAGUGGGAGUAGCCUACUUUAAGUAUGUACCAUAG
rnacentral:lncRNA from 1 species